AGAUACAAGAGGUGAAGAAGAUCCAGCUGAAACAAGCUUACAAUGUAUAUGAUUAGAUCUGUUAGUUUUAUUGGUUGCUAUCACAAGCCCUGUUACAUUUUUGGUUAUGUUUUUCCCUCCCCUUUUCCUACAUAAAAUGAUGUCAACUCCAAGAAAACAUACAUUGCUCUUCCUUUCACUAAAUCUUGUCUGGUAUUUGUGGUAAUAUACAAAAAAAAAAGCUAUUC